rnacentral:piRNA from 1 species
UGUCUUAGAAACCCGUCCCUGAGGCUUGGC